AUGCCUAUAUGUCAGGUCCUAUGCCAGUCUUUAUACCUUAUCUCAUUUAAUCUUCAUGACAACCAUGUGCAUGAGGUAUUUUAUUAUCUCCAUUUUGCAGAUGAGAAAACCGAGGCUUGGAGGAGCUGUGUGACUUGCCCAAGAUCUCUGAGCUGGGGAGUAGUAGAGCUGGAGUUUGAACCCAGGUCUUUUUGGGCUGCUAAGAAUUUUGUAAUGCAGUCUGGGACAUCCUCUGAAAGUAUAAAGGUUGACCUGAACAGAGAAGAGAGAAGAAGGGAGAAGGAGGGACAGAGAGCAAAGGACGGAGAGAAUGAGAAGCAAGUGAGUAAGAAUGGAGAUGGAGAAGAGGAAACUGAAUAAGUUCCUGUGCAUAGGAGGUACAGGGAUCCAGAAAUGUGCCCCUCUGUGCCUUUGAGGAUUUAGAAAAGACAGAGAACAAAAGACUUGCUUUCUGGAACCCAUAUAAGCCUUGAUAUUUUAUGUUCUGCAACACUGUUGGGCUUUCUGGUCUCCUGAAUUCUUGGCUACCAUAAACUGAGUGCUCGCCAUGUUCCAGGUACUGCAUUAAACUCUUCUCAAACAUUAGCACUAGCUGCUGUAACCAAAAACCCAUGAAAGCAUAUGGUUCAAACACUAUGAAAAUUUAUUUCAUUCUCAGGUCAAGUCCAGGAUGGGUGUUCCUGAUUGAUAGGAAGCUCUCCUCCAGCUGGUGAGUCAGAGACCCCGGCUCCUUACAUAUUGUGGGUCUGUCAGGUUCAUCUCAUCUACGCCCAGUGGCAGAAGGAGGAAAGAGCACAGAGGAUGGAGGUUUUUGUGUACCAGGUCAGGAAGUGGCACACAGCACUUCUACUCAUGUUCCAUUUGCUGGAAUUCAGUCAUGUGGUUUCUCCUAAUGACAGAAGGCUGGGAAGUUUAGUCUAGUGAUGUGCCCAGGAAAAGAAGACAUGGGUUUGGUAAAGAGCUAGGAAGUCUCUGUCAUGUGUCAUCAUUCUGUUUUAUUCUUACAACAAUUGAGGAAGGGAGGGAGGGAGAGAGAGAGGGAGAGAGAGAAGAGAGAUUGCUCCUUCUGUCUUAGCCAGCACUUUGCCAUGAAUUCCUUUUCAAUCUUCCAAUAUCUGCCUGGCC
rnacentral:lncRNA from 1 species